CCCCUAGAUGUUCUGGACCGCACGCGCGCUACACUGAACAGUUCAACAAGUCUUAACCUCGGCCGAUAGGUCUGGGUAAUCUUUGAACGCUGUUCGUGAUUGGGAUAGACCUUUGCAAUUAUGGGUCUUCAACGAGGAAUUCCUAGUAAACGCAAGUCAUCAGCUUGCAUUGAUUACGUCCCUGCCCUUUGUACACACCGCCCGUCGCACCUACCGAUUGAAUGGUCCGGUGAAAUCUCGGGACGGCGGCUUGGUCGCUUGCGUCCGACUGCUGAAACUUGAUUAAACCAUAUCAUUUAGAGGAAGGUGAAGUCGUAACA
rnacentral:rRNA from 1 species